AAACUGCGAAAAUCGGUGUGAAUUGCAGGACACCCGAUCACUUGAUCUUCGAACGCACAUUGCUCUUGUGGUUUUACACGCCGCAAGGACGCCUGUCUGAGGGUCGGUUAUUAAAUUUAUAUGCCGUAAUGAGUUGCUUCUAUUUUACAUUGUCUCUCGAUAGACGAUGCCAAAUAGUCAACUGUGUGACUAGCGGUGCGUUACCUACGGGAGUGGGUAAGCUGUGCGCAGACUUUACUGUUGGCUGCACGCUGCGAGAUCUCUCUUAUUGUGAGAACUCCUCCUCUCGAUACAAGCACCUACCUAUUUCAAUUACUUUUGACCUCAGAUCAGACGAGAGCACCCGCUGAAUUUAA
rnacentral:misc_RNA from 1 species